rnacentral:rRNA from 1 species
UAUUUUUGGGGUAUUAUUGUGUUUAUUAGAAAAUUUAUUUUUAGUAGUUUGAGCGAAGGGUGAAGGGUUCCUAAAGAGGAUUAAGUACUGAGAAGGAAAGUUUAGUUAUUUAUUUAGAAUGUUAGGUUGGUUAGUACCUUUUGUAUUAGGGUUAAUUUAUGUGGUUUUGCUUUUGUUAUAUCUCGAUGAGUGUCGGGCUAUUUUUCCUUGGUAUAUUCUCGUUGUAUAGAGUUUAAUAGGGGAUUAUAGUUAUGAAAUAUUAUUCAAGUUUCUUUUUAUCUAGUUCUUUAAGAAAUUUAAUAGUUGGUAGUGUUAUUAGGACGAUAAAUAGGGAUUAGCUUAUUUAUUUUUUAUAUUUUAUUGUAGUUGGGGUUUUGUUUGUUAAGUUGAUAGUGCUUGUUUAGAUGGAGUUAUUAUUGAGCAGGUUAUUUAAAUUAUUUUUUUGGUUUUGUUUUUGUAUUAGGGUUAUGUUAUGAAUUUUUAGUGGUUUGUAAUAAUGAUUAUAUUAGUAAUAAUUUUUUAUUGGGGUGUUAUUUUAGUUUAUUCUAGUCUUUUUGUUAGAUGGUAGGUGCUUUAAAUUAGGGUUGAUGAAUUAGGCAAGAGGAAUUUCUGACUGUUUAGCAAAGACAUUGUUUUUUGUUGUGGUAAAAAAUAAUUUCUGUCCACUGCUAUUAGGUGAAGGGCUGCAGUAUUUUGACUGUAUGAAGGUAGCAUAAUCAUUAGCUUCUUAAUUAGAAGCUGGUAUGAAGGUGAAACAGGGGUUUGCUGUAUUUUUUCUAUUUUUUGAAUUUAAUUUUCAUGUGAAAAAUCAUGAUUGGGUUAAUGGGACAAGAAGACCCUAAUAAGUUUUAUUUUUUUAUUUAAUGCGUGCAUAGGUUUUUAUUUGUGUAAUUUAUUUAGGGGAGUUUGGCUGGGGCGGCAGUUUAUUUGACAUAGACUAAUUUUUAAUUUUUUGUGGCGAUAUUUGGACCUAGUUUGUUUAGAUUAGUGUGUAACUACUGUAGGGAUAACAGCGUGAUUUUUUUUGAGAGUUCUAAUUGACAAUAAAGUUUGCGACCUCGAUGUUGGAUUAAGAAGAGCAUGGC